UACGAAGGGGGCUAGCGUUGCUCGGAAUCACUGGGCGUAAAGGGUGCGUAGGCGGGUCUUUAAGUCAGGGGGGAAAUCCUGGAGCUCAACUCCAGAACUGCCUUUGAUACUGAAGAUCUUGAGUUCGGGAGAGGUGAGUGGAACUGCGAGUGUAGAGGUGAAAUUCGUAGAUAUUCGCAAGAACACCAGUGGCGAAGGCGGCUCACUGGCCCGGUACUGACGCUGAGGUGCGAAAGCGUGGGGAGCGAACAGG
rnacentral:rRNA from 1 species